rnacentral:tRNA from 1 species
GCGCCCAUAGCUCAGUAGGAUAGAGCGAACGCCUCCUAAGCGUUAGGCCAGAGGUUCGAAUCCCCUUGGGCGCGCCA